rnacentral:rRNA from 1 species
UUAAAGGAAUUGACGGGGCCCGCACAAGCAGCGGAGCGUGUGGUUUAAUUCGAUGCACACGAAGAACCUUACCAGGGCUUGACAUGUUAGAAGUAGGAACCCGAAAGGGGGACGACCAGUAUCCAAUCUGGAGCUAACACAGGUGCUGCAUGGCUGUCGUCAGCUCGUGCCGUGAGGUGUAUGGUUAAGUCCCACAACGAGCGCAACCCUCGUCGCUAGUUAAUUUCCCUAGCGAGACCGCCUCGCAAAACGAGGAGGAAGGCGGGGAUGGCGUCAAGUCAGCAUGGCCUUUAUACCCUGGGCGACACACACGCUACAAUGGGUGGUACAGUAGGUAGCGAAGGAGCGAUCCGGAGCAAAUCCUUAAACCAUCCUCAGUACGGAUUGCAGGCUGAAACCCGCCUGCAUGAAGCCGGAGUUGCUAGUAACCGCAUAUCAGCAUGGUGCGGUGAAUACGUUCUCGGGCCUU